CAUUUUUAACCAAAAAAAAAAAAAAAACCCUGUUCUUUUAAAAAACCAGAGGUUCUUCCAACCCCUGUUUCCAGUGAAGCCCCGUCGCGAUUGCCGCUGCUCUGUCGCUAGCGCCGCCUCCAACCGGUGGUCUUUUGGCUCUCAAAUUUCGAUCAUAGCCUCUCCUCAAUGUCCCUGUUACAAAUCCGAGCUUAAUUUUCCACAAAACAGCCUCAAAAACCCCAGACCUGAGCCAAAAAGCUAAAAUGUUGAACCCUGUUUAGCCUCUGUCUAAAGUUUGAUCUUUCUGAUUUUUUUGUAUAUUGUUCUCCUCUCCUUCCUCUCCCUUUCCACCGUCGCCAAUUACCCGAGGGAUGCCACCACCACUCACGCUGCCUUUGUCACCUUUCUUUUUUUAUUUUUUUGUUUGAAAAAAAUUUUUUUCCUGUCGAAACUGACUUUUUUUUUAUUUGUAUUUUUUACAGGACUACUUGGCGUUGCUAGGUUCUUCCCUUGUGGAGGACUGUGUUUUAUUUUUUAUUUUUUUAGAGUUUUGGGUUUUUUUUUUUGGUUUUUCUGGUGGUUUUUUUCAGGUAUUUUCUAGGUUUGAAGGGGUAUUUUUCAGGGUGGUUUGUGGUGCGGCUUAAGGUUCUUAUGGGGGACAAAGAUGAGUUCUGGGUAUUUUGGUUGAUGUUAGCUUCUGGUAUUGGCGAUCGACUGGUGAGGGUGUCAAACGCAUGCCGGGAUAGAGGGUCUGUUCUGGGUGCGGCUGAGGACGAGGCUUGGUUUGGCUGUUCUGGUGACUGGAAGACUUAGGGUUGUUAUGGUGCUUAGUCCAUGGAAUUUGGGGCGACAGGUACAAGCCUUUGGCAAUGGAGACAUAGGCCGGUGAGAGCGGAACUGGGUACUUGCAGUUGGUGCUGUUUGGGUGUGGGUUGUACCCUGGGAAUGUACGAUGCUGGGGUGUGCAAAAGGUGUGGUGCUGAAGAAGGUGCUUAGGUGCUACGGAGUGGUUUGGGAACGUUUUUCCUAGAGAUGGAUGCUUAGUGAAAGGGGAUACUGCGAUUGGGAUGGUUUGGUGAGGGGCAUGGUGAAAGGGAAUUGGUGGCAUGAAGUUGCGUGCAAGGGUGCGGGUAAGGAGUGCAGAGGCUGAGAUGAUGAAGGCUGGGUUUUAGGAAUGGAGGUGCUUUUGGUGUUGGGUUGGUCAGGGGUUGGCAAUGAAAGCUUCAGGUCUAUGGUGUUGGAGCGGAUUGGGGUUGGUUUUGGUGAGGAAGGGAUGAGCUGGGUCGAGGCCAACGUGCGUAGGUCGAGGCCAACACGGGGCUAGGUUGGUGAGGAAUGGUGCUCGAUGUUUGAAAACAGGGAUGAUGUGGGUGCUUGAAGACUGGAUAUGGAGCGAGAAUUUGGGUUCUAUAGUGGUGCUUGCUGGGUUGUUGGAGAUGGUUGAAAGGUCAUAGCUUUGUCCAAGGAAAGGUCUAAAAACCUUGUGUGGGUUCUGGGUUCUAGGGAUAUGGAGCUGGGGGUGGAAAAUGGUACUCGACCUUCUGGAAAUGGGGUUGGUAAGGUAGUAUAGGCUAUUGUGGAUGCUGUGACCGGGUAUUUUUAAUGAAGGUCCCCCCCUCGGGGCCUGAAGGUGCUAAGCUUUAUUGAAGUAAAUUUUGUUCUCAUCUUUGAGCUAUUUUUGCAGGGUCAUGGUUUGGCAGGGCAAUACAGGGUAGUGGAGCAAGGUAUUGAUGGUUCUAGGUACCUCUGGUGCGCAAGGGCCAGACAGAAUCUGUAGUGGCUGUCGGCCACUUCCUUUUAUUUUAGUUUCCUUCUUUUUUUUAUUUGCUUCCUC
rnacentral:lncRNA from 1 species